CAGCCUACGGGGCGCAGCAGUGGGGAAUAUUGGGCAAUGGGCGCAAGCCUGACCCAGCAACGCCGCGUGAAGGAAGAAGGCUUUCGGGUUGUAAACUUCUUUUAUGAGGGACGAAACAAAUGACGGUACCUCAUGAAUAAGCCACGGCUAACUACGUGCCAGCAGCCGCGGUAAUACGUAGGUGGCAAGCGUUAUCCGGAUUUACUGGGUGUAAAGGGAGCGUAGGCGGCAGUGCAAGUCAGAAGUGAAAGCCCGGGGCUCAACUCCGGGACUGCUUUUGAAACUGUACAGCUUGAUUGCAGGAG
rnacentral:rRNA from 1 species